GCGUCAUUAUCACCAAUCAAGUCCAGCUUGCUGUUGGAUCCGGCCGCGUCCGCGGCCGAUCCCAAAGAUAAUGAGGCGUUAUUUGGACCCUAGAUGCAACGAGCUUUUAUUAGCACGCGUCUAGUUGGACCUCGUAACCCGGUCUUACCCAUCUUUCUAAGGUUGACCUCGGAUCAGGUAGGAAUACCCGCUGAACUUAA
rnacentral:misc_RNA from 1 species